CAGCAGCCACGGUAAUACGAAGGGUGCAAGCGUUAAUCGGAAUUACUGGGCGUAAAGCGUGCGUAGGCGGUGAGUUAAGUCUGCUGUGAAAUCCCCGGGCUCAACCUGGGAAUGGCAGUGGAUACUGGCUCGCUAGAGUGUGUCAGAGGAUGGUGGAAUUCCCGGUGUAGCGGUGAAAUGCGUAGAGAUCGGGAGGAACAUCAGUGGCGAAGGCGGCCAUCUGGGACAACACUGACGCUGAGGCACGAAAGCGUGGGGAGCAAACAGGAUUAGAUACCCGGGUAGUCCCUGUCUCUUAUAC
rnacentral:rRNA from 1 species